rnacentral:lncRNA from 1 species
GCUAAUCGUGGUACCACACUGGAAAAAGAAAAUUAGGAACUGACACUGCACUGUGAGACGCUGGAAUUAUGGUGCCUCAUUGGAAAUUGACAAAUGCCAUUUUGGUUAUCCCCGCGGCAUAGUGCUUCUCACUUUGGCAUCUUGUUUUAGUAAAAGUAUUAUAACUUCCCACCCAGGUAUCGGAUUAAGGCUAAUUUUAUAUCAUUUGAAAGCUGACUGAGUUUCCUACACAAUAAAAAGCCUUAAACUUAAAAAUUCUGAGUAUUUUGAAAAUUUUAUUUAGGAAUAAUUGUGUAGUGAGAGCUAAACUAAGCUAGGGAAAUAUGGGGCAUUACAAUAUCUCCUCC